GGAUCAGGUAGGAAUACCCGCUGAACUUAAGCAUAUCAGACCGGGGGG
rnacentral:rRNA from 1 species